GAUGAAGAACGUAGCGAAAUGCGAUAAGUAAUGUGAAUUGCAGAAUUCAGUGAAUCAUCGAAUCUUUGAACGCACAUUGCGCCCCUUGGUAUUCCGAGGGGCAUGCCUGUUCGAGCGUCAUUACACCACUCAAGCUAUGCUUGGUAUUGGGCGUCGUCCUUAGUUGGGCGCGCCUUAAAGACCUCGGCGAGGCCACUCCGGCUUUAGGCGUAGUAGAAUUUAUUCGAACGUCUGUCAAAGGAGAGGAACUCUGCCGACUGAAACCUUUAUUUUUCUAGGUUGACCUCGGAUCAGGUAGGGAUACCAGCUGAACUUAAGCAUAUCAAUAAGCGGAGGA
rnacentral:misc_RNA from 1 species